rnacentral:sRNA from 1 species
UCUUGCGCUCCCGGGAUAUGCCUGGGAGCAUGCUUGUCGGGGAGGAGGAGGCGAAAACUCGCCCACAGCUUUGGGUUCGAUCUCCASCUCAAGGCGGUGGAGCGGAAUAUGAGUGUUCCGGGGAGCGGUMGUGCGGUGUGUAUUUUUGUACAUGCCUCCUGCUCGUCCCCUGAGUCCACCCAAGCCUAGAGAGCUACCGAUUGUCCGGGCCUCAUUGCCUUUGCGGCGCUGUAGACCGGUCCACCUUGCGUCCUCCGGAAGAUCCGCUGUUGAUACCUUCGCAACCUCGCCCCCUCUCGCGGGGCGGGGCAGGGCGAAGGAGACACUGACGCCGGGGAUGUGCGCGGGUUACCUUGAGGCGUCGCAGGAGGCAAGUUCACCUUGCGUCCUCCGGAGGAUCCGUUGUUGACGGCGCCCCCUAUCGCGGGGCGGGGACACAACGGGUCGCCGGGGAUGUGCGCGGGUGUCCUUGAGGCUUGGGACGGUAGGUAGUCUCGAGAGUACCGGUGAGAGGCCGGUGAUUAUGAUUAUGCCNUACCCCCGAUCAAGCAAGAAGACCCGCUGAAUUUAAGCAUAUACUAA